CUCCGUGCCGGUAUUAACGCUGUCCGGCUCUGCGCUUGAUUAUUAGUCGAGUUCGACGGAUCUCUCCGCCUAACCCUCGACUUCCAGAUCUGAGAUCUGCUGAAUCUCGUGCUGUGACGAAGAUCUUCCUCCGCUGUGCUUGGUUCACAAUGGUUGUUCUUGCUGCUUCCAUCGUAACUAAGUCAGGAAAAGUGUUGGUUUCAAGGCAGUUUGUGGAGAUGUCUCGAAUAAGGAUAGAAGGACUGCUCGCUGCCUUCCCUAAGCUGGUGGGAACAGGAAAACAACACACUUUUGUUGAGACUGAGAAUGUGCGCUAUGUAUACCAACCAAUAGAAGCACUUUAUCUCCUACUUGUGACAAACAAACAGAGUAACAUUCUUGAAGAUCUGGACACACUAAGACUCUUAUCCAAACUUGUGCCUGAAUAUUCGCCUUCACUAGAUGAAGAAGGUGUAUGUAAGAUGGCUUUUGAGCUCAUUUUUGCUUUUGAUGAAGCCAUCUCACUGGGCAACAAAGAAAAUCUGACUGUAGCACAAGUUAAACAAUACUGCGAAAUGGAGAGCCAUGAAGAAAGAUUGCAUAAGUUAGUCAUGCAAAACAAAAUUAAUGAGACUAAGGAUAUCAUGAAGCGGAAAGCUAGUGAGAUUGACAAAAGCAAGAUUGAGAAAAACAGAGGCGAUAAAGGAGGAUUGAUGGCUUUGUCUGGUCCUCGAAGAAUUGAAAGUAGCUUUAAUGACAUGAGCAUUUCCAAUUCUGGAAGUGGUUUUGGUAGUGGAUCUGGAAUUGGAUUGAGCAGUGAUGUGGAAUCCUUCUCUAUUAAGCCCAAAGGCCGUCCAUCUGCAUCUGCUACUGCUCCCUCAAAAGGCCUUGGUAUGAAGUUAGGGAAAACACAAAAGACAAACCAGUUUUUGGAGUCUUUAAAAGCUGAAGGAGAAGUUAUUCUCGAGGAUGUGCAACCAAAUGUUGCUCAGUCAAAAUCCUCUCUUCCAUCAACUGACCCUGUCACAUUGACCAUUGAAGAAAGAUUAAAUGUUGUCAUCAGGAGGGAUGGUGCUCUUAACAACUUUGAUAUCCAGGGAACUCUUUCCCUGCAAAUUCUUAACCAGGAAGAUGGAUUUGUGCAACUUCAGAUUGAAAAUCAGGAUGUUCCUGGCCUUAGCUUCAAAACCCAUCCUAAUAUCAACAAAGAGUUAUUCAACAGCAAGCACAUUGUGGGAUUGAAAGACCCCAACAGGCCAUUCCCUGCAGGUCAAAAUGAUGUUGGUCUCAUGAAGUGGAGAAUUCAGGGCAUGGAUGAAGCUUCUUUGCCUUUGACUGUCAAUUGCUGGCCCUCUGUUUCUGGUGGUGAAACUUACGUGAACAUAGAGUAUGAAGCAUCGGAAUCGUUUGACUUGCAGAAUGUUGUAAUCUCCAUACCGCUCCCUGCACUUAGGGAGCCACCAAGUAUAAGGCAGAUAGAUGGAGAAUGGAAGUAAGUACUUGAUUUUUCCCCCACUAAAAUGGAUAUAAUCAUGCUUCCCCUGAUGUUUAGAAAUUUCUCACAUAGUGGGGUCUCUUUUAGUAAAGAUAAACAAGCUGGCAUAACUCUUCCAAAAGUUACCACUUCAUGUUGUGCAAUCUCUGGAAUCUUGACUUUCAGAAGGAUAGCUAUGAAACCUCCUGCUGGUGAUUAUUUUAUCAGGCAUACAGGAGUCCAAGAAGUACUAUCUCCUGGUACUUUGGGAGCUUAAAACAGAUACGUCAAUGAAAUUACAAGAGCAUUAUGCUAAUAUAUAUCUAGAUUACUAGAGGGAUAUAUGAGAAAGUGAGUUUAAAAAGUAGAUCUGAUGUUGGACAAUUUUUUAGACUUGAAGAUGGCACGAAAGUCCAUCCUGAUGCUGUUUUUAUGUUCAGCCUAAGUUUCCUUUGGUAGAACAUGUUUAUCUGUGGAUCGUGUUUUUUUUUCCCAUUUUGCUAUCUUUAAGUUAUACUUGUAAAAUCCAGUUAUCUUGUUUCUCCGUUGACCACUUUCUUU